rnacentral:rRNA from 1 species
CUCCUUUGACGUUAGCGGCGGACGGGUGAGUAACACGUGGGUAACCUACCUAUAAGACUGGGAUAACUUCGGGAAACCGGAGCUAAUACCGGAUAAUAUUUCGAACCGCAUGGUUCGAUAGUGAAAGGUGGUUUUGCUAUCACUUAUAGAUGGACCCGCGCCGUAUUAGCUAGUUGGUAAGGUAACGGCUUACCAAGGCGACGAUACGUAGCCGACCUGAGAGGGUGAUCGGCCACACUGGAACUGAGACACGGUCCAGACUCGUACGGGAGGCAGCAGCC